rnacentral:rRNA from 1 species
UACGUAGGGUGCGAGCGUUUAAUCGGAAUUACUGGGCGUAAAGCGUGCGCAGGCGGUUUUGUAAGCCAGAUGUGAAAGCCCCGGGCUUAACCUGGGAAUGGCAUUUGGGACUGCAAGGCUGGAGUGCGGCAGAGGAGACUGGAAUUCCCGGUGUAGCAGUGAAAUGCGUAGAUAUCGGGAGGAAUACCGAUGGCGAAGGCAGGUCUCUGGGCUGACACUGACGCUCAUGCACGAAAGCGUGGGGAGCAAACAGG